AGCGAACGCUGGCGGCAGGCUUAACACAUGCAAGUCGAGCGGGCGUAGCAAUACGUCAGCGGCAGACGGGUGAGUAACGCGUGGGAACAUACCUUUUGGUUCGGAACAACACAGGGAAACUUGUGCUAAUACCGGAUAAGCCCUUACGGGGAAAGAUUUAUCGCCGAAAGAUUGGCCCGCGUCUGAUUAGCUAGUUGGUGAGGUAACGGCUCACCAAGGCGACGAUCAGUAGCNGGUCUGAGAGGAUGAUCAGCCACAUUGGGACUGAGACACGGCCCAAACUCCUACGGGAGGCAGCAGUGGGGAAUAUUGGACAAUGGGCGCAAGCCUGAUCCAGCCAUGCCGCGUGAGUGAUGAAGGCCCUAGGGUUGUAAACCUCUUUCAGCGCCGAAGAAGCGAAAGUGACGGUAGGCGCAGAAGAAGCACCGGCUAACUACGUGCCAGCAG
rnacentral:rRNA from 1 species